rnacentral:lncRNA from 1 species
UUUUUGUUUUUUUUCUUUUUUGUAAUGCCCCAGUUGGUUGUUCUGCUGAUUCUCGAGAUGCAGCUGAGUGAUCUUCUUUUCUUGCUCAAGAAGUCGGGAAAUCUCGUCAGGAAUCCCUUCAACAUCAUCUUCUUCCGCUUCAAUUACAGGGAAUUCAAAGUUGGGAGAUGGCGUUGGAUCAUUAUGUUCAAUGGGUUUAAGAAUCAACCUGCAU